rnacentral:rRNA from 1 species
AUUGAACGCUGGCGGCGUGCUUAACACAUGCAAGUCGAACGAGAACGGAUUAUAGCUUGCUAUAAUUGUCAGCUAAGUGGCGCACGGGUGAGUAAUGUAUAGGUAAUAUGCCUCUUACUAAGGGAUAACAAAUGGAAACGUUUGCUAAUACCUUAUACUCCUUAUUAACAGAAGUUAAUAAGGGAAAGAUUUAUUGGUAAGAGAUUAGCCUGUAUUGUAUCAGUUAGUUGGUGGGGUAAUGGCUUACCAAGACUAUGACAGAUAACGGGUUUGAGAGGAUGAUCAGUAAACCUGGAACUGAGACACGUUCCAGACUCCUACGGGAGGCAGCAGUGGGGAAUAUUGAACAAUGGCCGAAAGUCUGAUGCAGCAACGCCGCGUGGAGGAUGACACAUUUCGGUGCGUAAACUCCUUUUAUAUGAGAAGAUAAUGACGGUAUUAUAUGAAUAAGCACCGGCUAACUCCGUGCCAGCCGCCGCGGUAA